UAUAUAUAUAACAAAACAAGACAGGAAAAGAAGCAAAGUAAAAAAUUGGACAUGCAAGGGCUUUGACCGCGCUUGUUAACUUAGCAUGCAACAACGACAUACAUAACCCUACAAGACAUAGCCCUUUUUUCUCUCUUUUUUCUGGGGUUGGUUACACAACCCGGAACAUGUGCUACAUACGACCCUCGUCUCCGGACUUGAAGCAUCACUCAGAUAACUUUGAUGUAUGGUAUGAACGGGCGUUAUUCAUUAUUUGGCUUAUCUCGAGGGCCAAGUUUGAAUCGAGUCUAGGUGAAACUCGAAUGCAUCGGGCUUGUUGUGCAUAUUCUUCUUUUCAUUUCCAAUCCAACCGGCUUUUUUUUCCCCUACGAAUGGAACGUAUCAGAAAUGCAUCAUCAUGAAUGUCCAUCUUGUCUAUUUCGGUAUCGCCGUCAAAUGUCAAACCCAUCCCCAUGGGCGCAUAGACAACGCCCUGCAUCUUGCAAUGCUGCCCAUGCAUACGUAUCAGUAGUUACUCCGUACGGCGUACGGCGACAUAAUGCCACCGAUUUUUAAUAUAUUUUACCUUUCGUAUCGUACUACGUUAGUAAACCCGUGUGAUGCUUCUUGCAGGAAGAAAUGUACUCCGAGGCGGUGGUUCUGCCAAUGAUAGCUAUUCACCAUACCGCUGGGUAAAUGGGCUUGCAGGAUUUAGACUUGACUGUAAGACUGUACUAAGGUAUCUCCACGCCACGAGGAAGGUACGUAGUUAGGGUAUGAGGAUUUUGCGGAGUAUGUUUGCUUUACUCUGAUGGUGUGUUGCUCAUCAUGUCCUUUUCUUGCAUAAACACCUUCCAUCUCGAGAAAGUUCGGCACAUGAUAUUUCCUUU
rnacentral:lncRNA from 1 species